AAGCUAACAAAUGCAAAUAAGAGGUUUCAACAGACACUUCCUUCUCAUGCACCUGGCAACAGCCACAGCACUAUCCCAUCAGGGGAUACUAGGACCCCACAUAUCUUCUGCUGGAGCACCAAAGAGAUAUUCCAGUAUCAGUCAUUUCAGUUUACUCUAGUUUUCAGGAGUUUUAGAAACUUAUUACCACACAACACUACUUAUACCACUGGUAGGUUUCCUCUCGCCUUCUUCAUUUCAGACUAAUUGCGCUCUGAAAUGGAUCUCCAGAGAGAUCAUUCAGGACCUAGGAUCUUGGUUUACUAACUGGAUACUGAAGAUCAUGGAUGAAAGAGAGACAUGAGGACAUGUUUUCUCCAACUGCGAUGCCUCACCUGGUUUAGGUCUGAAUGUUCCAAGAUAAAGAAGAUUACAAGAGAUAAUCUUGUAGAUCUACAGGGAAACAACAAGUCUUUUAUCUACCAUGUGUGGCUUCCUUUCCUCAUCCAGCCUGGCUCGCUUGGAUAUCUCCUUGUCCACCUAACUGGAAGGCUUCUCAUCCCAGGAGCUCUGCUCUGCUCUCUGCUUGGUGUGAAGUACUGUCUGCCUCUCACUCUACCCCUGGAAAGAAGAUCAACAGAUCAUGGUGAGACUUUCUAUGAUGUUAAGAGCGAAGUGAUUUCCAGUGGCCAUAUCACCCUUGAAGAAUACUGGACAGCAUUUUAGGAGAAAAAGAUUAUUGUGUCACAGCAACCAGAAAAUAAGUGGGUAGUGAGAGUGAUCAAGGCUCAUCUGGAUAUUAAGGCUGUUGUUGUCAGUGACCUACAGCAACCUGCUCAUGUCUGCAAUUUUUCAACAGUUGACCUUGUCAUCCACAAGCAGCCUUGUCUCCCUCAUAUCUGACUUGUUCCUCUUCACUUCUGGGCAACACAGUCUCCAGGUAACCCUGCCAUUUCCAGGACGAGAGUACCAGGAGCUGGAGAUCCAGCCCCUCAGACUUGUGGAUGAAAGACCCAGUUGCAGUCUGUAGACACUGCAGACAGCCCCUGCUCUCAAAGACAGGACACCCAAGAAGAUUUUGGAACACUGUGAGAAGCCUAUAACAUGAAUAACUGAGAAAGAAACCUUGGAGACUUAAGCUUCUGUUUCUCUCAAAACUGAAUUUCACAUGCUAUGUUUUUGGUGGUUUUUCAUGCUGUUUUUUGGGAGGGUGGAGGAGGGGAGUGGAGGUGAAUUACAAUAUUAUUGUCAAGCGAGUUGCUAUAGGUUUGAAAACACUGGCACUCUUUUAUGUUAAUGUACAGGAUUUUAAACUGCUGGUAGUAAUAACUUGACCUCUUUAGGUCCAGUAAAACUUAUCACAGCCAUGUGAAUACAUUUUCCCCAGAAAAUCUCAGGAUUAAUACAAAAGUUUUUCAUAAUUUUUAAGGAAGUGGCUUCUAGAAUAGAAAGAGUGAUGAGAGUGCUUAGCUGAGAUGUGAAGAAAUUCAGGAUUGUCUUGUUUUCGAACCAAAUUAUUGCAAAUGUUGUUAGCUGUAAUCUGAAAGUGUGUAUGUAGAGUAUAUUUAUACAAUUCCAAUGGCUAUUCAAUCUUUGAUAUUCAC
ensembl:lncRNA